rnacentral:rRNA from 1 species
GACGAACGCUGGCGGCGUGCUUAACACAUGCAAGUCGAACGGAAAGGCCCUGCUUUUGUGGGGUGCUCGAGUGGCGAACGGGUGAGUAACACGUGAGUAACCUGCCCUUGACUUUGGGAUAACUUCAGGAAACUGGGGCUAAUACCGGAUAGGAGCUCCUGCUGCAUGGGGGGGGUUGGAAAGGUUCGUCGGUUGGGGAUGGACUCGCGGCUUAUCAGCUUGUUGGUGGGGUAGUGGCUUACCAAGGCUUUGACGGGUAGCCGGCCUGAGAGGGUGACCGGCCACACUGGGACUGAGAUACGGCCCAGACUCCUACGGGAGGCAGCAGUGGGGAAUAUUGCACAAUGGGCGGAAGCCUGAUGCAGCAACGCCGCGUGCGGGAUGACGGCCUUCGGGUUGUAAACCGCUUUCGCCUGUGACGAAGCGUGAGUGACGGUACCGGGUAAAGAAGCACCGGCUAACUACGUG